CUUUAAGAACACAUCGAUAAUAACUACCGCAAUCAAAAGGAUCAGAAGUAUAUUGACCUUCGAUGCAGGAUACAGGAGUAUAUGGACCAGGUAAUCCAGGCCCUAAAAUUGGAGCACCAGCAUCAGUGAAGUUUCCAAAUUUAAGUGUAUAUCCAUCACCGAAAAUUGAAACAGAAAACUUGUCUGCAACAGAAAGCAAACGGCUGUCACAAACAGAGAAAAUUCAAUGUUCCUUGAACUAAUCAGUUUGGUAUAAAAGAAGCGUCUUUUCCGAGGACCGAUAACAUUGCCUUCUUAUUCCUUCGACAAUAUACUUGAAGUUAGUGAUAGAAAUUCGAAAUUUCUACAAACGUAA